AUUGAACGCUGGCGGAAUGCUUUACACGUGCAAGUCGAACGGCAGCACGGACUUCGGUCUGGUGGCGAGUGGCGAACGGGUGAGUAAUACAUCGGAACGUGCCCAAUCGUGGGGGAUAACGUAGCGAACGCUACGCUAAUACCGCAUACGAUCUAAGGAUGAAAGCGGGGGAUCGUAAGACCUCGCGCGAUUGGAGCGGCCGAUGGAAGAUUAGGUAGUUGGUAGGGUAAAGGCCUACCAAGCCGACGAUCUGUAGCUGGUCUGAGAGGAUGAUCAGCCACACUGGGACUGAGACACGGCCCAGACUCCUACGGGAGGCAGCAGUGGGGAAUUUUGGACAAUGGACGCAAGUCUGAUCCAGCCAUUCCGCGUGCAGGAUGAAGGCCCUCGGGUUGUAAACUGCUUUUGUACAGAACGAAAAGGCUCUGGUUAAUACCUAGGGCUCAUGACGGUACUGUAAGAAUAAGCACCGGCUAACUACGUGCCAGCAGCCGCAGUAA
rnacentral:rRNA from 1 species